AGAAGCUUACACUGAAAAGAUGA
rnacentral:snRNA from 1 species